GACGAACGCUGGCGGCGCGCUUAACACAUGCAAGUCGACCGGAAAGGCCUGCUUUCCCUUGUGGAUUGCGGGUACUCGAGUGGCGAACGGGUGAGUAACACGUGAGUGAUCUGCCCCCAACUUGGGUAUAAGCCUGGGAAACUGGGUCUAAUUCCCGAUAGGACUGCAGGGUGGUGCCUGUGGUGGAAAACGAUUUUCUAGUGGUUGGGGAUGAGCUCGCGGCCUAUCAGCUUGUUGGUGGGGUAAUGGCCUACCAAGGCGGCGACGGGUAGCCGGCCUGAGAGGGUGGACGGCCACAUUGGGACUGAGAUACGGCCCAGACUCCUACGGGAGGCAGCAGUGGGGAAUAGUGCACAAUGGGCGGAAGCCUGAUGCAGCGACGCCGCGUGGGGGAUGACGGCCUUCGGGUUGUAAACUCCUUUCGACCGCGAGGAAGCCACCUGGUUGGAAGGGUGGUGACGGUAGUGGUAGAAGAAGCACCGGCUAACUACGUG
rnacentral:rRNA from 1 species